AGUGAACGCUGGCGGCGUGCUUAACACAUGCAAGUCGAACGAGAACGGAUUAUAGCUUGCUAUAAUUGUCAGCUAAGUGGCGCACGGGUGAGUAAUAUAUAGAUAACCUGCCCUCUAGAAAGGAAUAACAGUUGGAAACGACUGCUAAUGCCCUAUAUGCCUUUAAUACAUAAGUAUGCGAGGGAAACGCUUUAGUGCUAGAGGAUGGGUCUGUAUGGUAUCAGCUUGUUGGUGAGGUAAUGGCUCACCAAGGCUAUGACGCCUAACUGGUUUGAGAGGAUGAUCAGUCACACUGGAACUGAGACACGGUCCAGACUCCUACGGGAGGCAGCAGUGGGGAAUAUUGCACAAUGGACGAAAGUCUGAUGCAGCAACGCCGCGUGGAGGAUGACACAUUUCGGUGCGUAAACUCCUUUUAUAUAGGAAGAUAAUGACGGUACUAUAUGAAUAAGCACCGGCUAACUCCGUGCCAGCAGCCGCAGUAACAC
rnacentral:rRNA from 1 species